rnacentral:rRNA from 1 species
CCUACGGGAGGCAGCAGUAAGGAAUAUUGGUCAAUGGACGAAAGUCUGAACCAGCCAUGCCGCGUGAAGGAUGAAGGCCCUCUGGGUUGUAAACUUCUUUUAUAGGGGACGAAAAAAGGGCAUUCUUGCUCACUUGACGGUACCCUAGGAAUAAGCACCGGCUAACUCCGUGCCAGCAGCCGCGGUAAUACGGAGGGUGCAAGCGUUAUCCGGAUUUACUGGGUUUAAAGGGUGCGUAGGUGGGUUGGUAAGUCAGCGGUGAAAUCUUCGAGCUUAACUCGGAAACUGCCAUUGAUACUAUCAAUCUUGAAUCAUCUAGAGGUAAGCGGAAUAUGUCAUGUAGCGGUGAAAUGCUUAGAUAUGACAUAGAACACCAAUUGCGAAGGCAGCUUACUAUGGAUGUAUUGACACUGAGGCACGAAAGCGUGGGGAUCAAACAGGAUUAGAUACCCUGGUAGUCCACGCCCUAAACUAUGGAUACUCGACAUUUGCGAUAUACUGUAAGUGUNUGNGNGAAGANAUAAGUAUACCACCNGGAGUAAGUAGUGNGAGAGUUAGUUAAUACAAGAAGUUAGAGGCGNGAGAGNGCGACGGACGACGACGAGGGAGGAGG